UGGGGAAUAUUGCACAAUGGGCGCAAGCCUGAUGCAGCAACGCCGCGUGAACGAUGAAGGUCUUCGGAUCGUAAAGUUCUGUUGCAGGGGAAGAUAAUGACGGUACCCUGUGAGGAAGCCCCGGCUAACUACGUGCCAGCAGCCGCGGUAAUACGUAGGGGGCUAGCGUUAUCCGGAUUUAUUGGGUUUAAAGGGAGCGUAGGCCGCGUUUUAAGCGUGUUGUGAAAUGUAGCCGCCCAACGUCUGAAUCGCAGCGCGAACUGGGACGCUGGAGUACGCGGAAGGGUGGGGGAAUUCGUCGUGUGGCGGGGAAAUGCUUGGAUAUGACGAGGAACUCCGAUGGGGAAGGCAGCUGACGGGAGCGGCACUGACGCUUAGGGUGGAAGGGGCGGGUAUCAAAAAGG
rnacentral:rRNA from 1 species